rnacentral:rRNA from 1 species
UACGAAGGGGGCUAGCGUUGCUCGGAAUUACUGGGCGUAAAGCGCGUGUAGGCGGGCGAAUAAGUCAGGGGUGAAAUGCCAAGGCUCAACCUUGGAACUGCCUUUGAUACUGUUCGUCUUGAGUCCGGGAGAGGUGAGUGGAACUGCGAGUGUAGAGGUGAAAUUCGUAGAUAUUCGCAAGAACACCAGUGGCGAAGGCGGCUCACUGGCCCGGAACUGACGCUGAGACGCGAAAGCGUGGGGAGCAAACAGG